rnacentral:rRNA from 1 species
CACUGCCGAGAAAAGCCUCUAGAUAGAAAAUAGGUGCCCGUACCGCAAACCGACACAGGUAGUCAAGAUGAGAAUUCUAAGGUGAGCGAGCGAACUCUCGUUAAGGAACUCGGCAAAAUGACCCCGUAACUUCGGGAGAAGGGGUGCUCUUUAGGGUUAACGCCCAGAAGAGCCGCAGUGAAUAGGCCCAAGCGACUGUUUAUCAAAAACACAGGUCUCUGCUAAACCGUAAGGUGAUGUAUAGGGGCUGACGCCUGCCCGGUGCUGGAAGGUUAAGAGGAGUGGUUAGCUUCUGCGAAGCUACGAAUCGAAGCCCCAGUAAACGGCGGCCGUAACUAUAACGGUCCUAAGGUAGCGAAAUUCCUUGUCGGGUAAGUUCCGACCCGCACGAAAGGCGUAACGAUUUGGGCACUGUCUCAACGAGAGACUCGGUGAAAUCAUAGUACCUGUGAAGAUGCAGGUUACCCGCGACAGGACGGAAAGACCCCGUGGAGCUUUACUGUAGCCUGAUAUUGAAAUUCGGCACAGCUUGUACAGGAUAGGUAGGAGCCUUUGAAACGUGAGCGCUAGCUUACGUGGAGGCGCUGGUGGGAUACUACCCUAGCUGUGUUGGCUUUCUAACCCGCACCACUUAUCGUGGUGGGAGACAGUGUCAGGCGGGCAGUUUGACUGGGGCGGUCGCCUCCUAAAAGGUAACGGAGGCGCUCAAAGGUUCCCUCAGAAUGGUUGGAAAUCAUUCAUAGAGUGUAAAGGCAUAAGGGAGCUUGACUGCGAGACCUACAAGUCGAGCAGGGUCGAAAGACGGACUUAGUGAUCCGGUGGUUCCGCAUGGAAGGGCCAUCGCUCAACGGAUAAAAGCUACCCCGGGGAUAACAGGCUUAUCUCCCCCAAGAGUUCACAUCGACGGGGAGGUUUGGCACCUCGAUGUCGGCUCAUCGCAUCCUGGGGCUGUAGUCGGUCCCAAGGGUUGGGCUGUUCGCCCAUUAAAGCGGUACGCGAGCUGGGUUCAGAACGUCGUGAGACAGU